CCUCUGGCGAAAUUUUCGUCGCCAUAAGAAAUGCAUUGACAUAUCUUCUCACAAAAACAUUAAGAAAUCUGCUGUUUUUGUUCCAUAAAAAAUAAGUUGCUCACAUUUUUAGGUUACGUCAUACAAAAGUAACAUAAAAGUGUGAUGGCAAAAUGAUGAAUCGACUUCACGUCUUUACCAAAUUAUCACAGUUCAAUAAUGAUCCACAUAUUGAACAUUUGAAUUGAUGUCACCAUUUUAUGAGAUAUUUAAAUACAACUUCCGAUAUAAGCCCGCAAUACACGCGUAGUGGUAAACCAUUGCACGGAUUCGCUGAAUCAAGUCGUUCACAUGAUGACAGGAAGUCUUUCACACGUUUUGUCUUUGUAUUGGUCGGAGGUACUGUUAUGUAGAAACAGCAAAUCGUUUCACUGAUGCAGAAUAUAUGGCAUUAUCCUCAGCAGUUAUAUAAAGAAAAUAUUGGGUCCCAACAGCUUGUCAGAAAUCCAGUCUAUCAUUCAAGAAGUAAGCAUAUUGACAUCAAAGUACAUCACAUAAGGAAUGUUUAUAAAGACUGAAAACUUGAAUUAAAAUAUUUUUCAGCCAAUGAACUGCCCAUAUUUUGCAACUAUAGACUGUUGGUACAACGAGUGAACAAAUUCCUAUAACGUUUUGGUUUGUGUUUUGUUUCUUAUUUAAAUAUGUAAAUUAAAUAGUAACAGUGAUGUCAAUAGUUUAAAAUAAAUUUAAUUUGUUGUAGAUCAUAA
rnacentral:sRNA from 1 species